rnacentral:RNase_P_RNA from 1 species
GGAUGCCGGAUAGCUGCUCCCGCGGCGGGAACGCCGCGAGGGGAGGAAAGUCCGAACAUUCGGUCGCCUGUGCAUGCAUAUGCGUGCAGGCGACACGGGUAGCAGGUAACGCCUGCCGGGAGUAAUCCUAGAAGUGAGAACAGAAACGACCCUAUUAAGUUAGGCUGAAACGGCAAAAUCUUUACCUGAAUGCAAGGCCGUGUCCCGCAGCAAUGCGGGAAGUGCCGCUCGAGGUCCCGAGCGAUCGGGAUCCCAGACAAAUAGCUGUCCGGUGCGUAGCACAACUACUCACUGACAGAAUUCGGCUUACAGGCAUCCACAU